rnacentral:rRNA from 1 species
CAACGCCGCGUGAGUGAAGAAGGUUUUCGGAUCGUAAAACUCUGUUGUAAGGGAAGAACAAGUACGUUAGUAACUGAACGUACCUUGACGGUACCUUACCAGAAAGCCACGGCUAACUACGUGCCAGCAGCCGCGGUAAUACGUAGGUGGCAAGCGUUAUCCGGAAUUAUUGGGCGUAAAGCGCGCGUAGGCGGUCUCUUAAGUCUGAUGUGAAAGCCCCCGGCUCAACCGGGGAGGGUCAUUGGAAACUGGGAGACUUGAGUGCAGAAGAGGAGAGUGGAAUUCCAUGU